rnacentral:lncRNA from 1 species
GAGGUACCCCCAUCACCUCCACUCCCUGGAGGGUGACACUGAGGGGACCUUGCCCACACCUCUGCCCGUCCCAUGGGGACAAGGCACAGCUCCAGGACCCAAACCCACGUCCUUCACCCUGUGGGAGCUGCCCCACACUGGGUCCAGCCCCGUUUGCCCCAGGAUCUGGCUGUUCCCCAAACACCCUGCCCAUAUAGCAGAUAUAUGGACUGCUGGCCCAUUGCUCCCUGGAGAGCAGCUGGGAUGCCUCCGCCAGAGCAAAGCGUGUGGUGCUCUGCUCCUGAAACACACCUGGACUUCAGCUCCGGAGCACCAGUAAGGGGCCAGGGGUGGGAUGGAGCCUGCCUGGGAGCAGCUCCGUUGCCAAAACCACGGGGAAAAGAGAGCAAGGUCUGCCAGCGAUGACAGGUCCAGCCCCGAAAGCAGCUCCGUGCAUGCCCCAUGCCCACACGUGCAGGACAGGACUGGCCCAGCGGCGUUUCCAGGAACGGGGACGGCUGUUUCUUGGAGAUGAAGCUGUCGGCGUCUUGGAAACGGGCAAGCUGCGAGCCCAGAGAAAUGCUUCUUCUAUGGGGUGCCUGCAGCUACCUGCCAGGAAGCUGAUUUUUCCUCCUGGCCACAGUUUUAGGACCCUGGCCGUCUUUGCAAGGUUGCUGAUGGGGCGAUCGAUGUGUUGGCACAUGGCCUCCGUUUGGGAAUAAGUAGCAGAGCCACCCAGCCGCGGGGCUGGUUGCUGCUUUUUUUUGGCUGAAGGCAGCCGGGUUUGAGGAAAUGCUGUCCCACUGGUGAAGCUGGGUGGUGUAACCAGCUCCUAAAGCUUUUUGGUCAAGCAUAUUUUGAAAGCAUGCCGCGUGAAGAUCUCAGCAAGUUUGGGCUAUGUUUAGGGAAAAACAAAACAAACAAACAAACAAAAAACAAGCAAACAACAACAACAACAACAACGAACUAUUUCAGUAGAUGAUUUGUUUAUUUAUUUAUUUAUGGUGUGCCUGACUAAACAUUGCUGCCCCACAGAAGAACUUUGCAGCGGGGAGAAAUGCUCUUUCCUCCAAUUUCACUUUUAAUUUCAGAGACAAAAAAAAAAUUGCACUUUUGGCCUUGAAAUGAAAGUGCUCACUCGCCCCACCUUCAUGUCCCCAAGGCUGUGCAGGGCCAGAUCUGCCUGGGGAUGCUGAGGGAGCUGCGGUGGUGAGCCCAGCUCCUGCUCACCCAUGAUUUAUGGGAUCACUCCGUCCAUUUUCUUUUCCAUCCAAAUUCCCUGUCUCGUGCACGUGCUUCCUCCAUGGGGCUGUGGGAAGCUGUGCUCCCGGGACUGGGAAUCACGGCAGUGCUGGGUUUAUUUGCUGUAAUUCUCUCUCAAAGAUCAGCUACUGCUGUGCUGGGCGUCACACUGCAAGGAACAGAU